CCUACGGGAGGCAGCAGUGAGGAAUAUUGGUCAAUGGGCGCGAGCCUGAACCAGCCAAGUAGCGUGAAGGAUGACUGUCCUACGGGUUGUAAACUUCUUUUAUAAAGGAAUAAAGUGAGGCACGUGUGCCUUUCUGUGUGUACUUUAUGAAUAAGGAUCGGCUAACUCCGUGCCAGCAGCCGCGGUAAUACGGAGGAUCCGAGCGUUAUCCGGAUUUAUUGGGUUUAAAGGGAGCGUAGAUGGGUUGUUAAGUCAGUUGUGAAAGUUUGCGGCUCAACCGUAAAAUUGCAAUUGAUACUGGCAGUCUGGAGUACCGGAGAGGUCAGCGGAAUGCCUUGUGUAGCGGUGAAAUGCGUAGAUAUAAGGAAGAACACCAGUGGCGAAGGCGGAUGACUGGACGGCAACUGACGGUGAGGCGCGAAAGCGUGGGGAGCGAACAGGAUUAGAUACCCCUGUAGUC
rnacentral:rRNA from 1 species